UCCGCCCACCGCGCUGCGCCCGCCCCGCCGCCCUGCCGCGCAGCAGCCGCGCCUCAAGCCUGCAUGGUGACGCCGCUCAGGCUCUGGCUUAUUUCUAGAUCUGGUUACUUGUAGAUUUAGAAGAUUUCUAAUCGUCCAGUCUCCCUGUACUCAGCACCGGUCAGGCCGCACCUCGAAUCCAGUGUUCAGUUCAGUUCCCUGAAUGCAGGAAGAACACUUGGGUGCUGAAGCGAGACCAGAGAAGGGCAGCAGAGCUGCAGGAAGCCGGACCAGUAAAUCUGAGUGGAUGAUUAGCAGCAGUUGGUAGCAGUAACCUCAUCAGCACUGCAGAGACAGCCAGAAGAAGACACAGAGUGUCUUUUUUACCUUUAAGUGCAAAGAAUGGAAGAUUGCCGCUAAUCCUGGACAGAGUCAGGGGGUCGUAGACGACUGGUUCUGGGUAACAAAAGAGAGGUUAUAGAGAAUGAUUACUUCAGAAUUUUCAGCCAGAACAGGAUCAUCAGGAGCUACUCCUAGCUCUCUCUAAACACCAGGAGCUGUUCACUGGAAGAACUGUAUGAUCAUGCCUGGAAGGUUUACUGCAUGAUCACCUGUUCCCAUCCCAUACCCAUCAGGGACAGUGGAAUCCCAAGUAGUCAGGGAGAGUGUACCUUUAAUUCAGGAGAGCUGGAGAUUGAUCUCUGCUACCACCUUGAAGCACGGCUGGGCAAACCUUUCCCAUAAAUCUUCACAGCUCCAGAUCUGGCCUUCUCCUUCAGCCAGCAGACCCUGUCCAGAGGAUCACCUGGACCAUAUCCCAGGCACCCUGGCCUUGGUACACACUUGAGGCCCCUGGAACAGUUCUGACUGCUUUGGUAUCUAAAAUCUUCCUUAAGAACUGUUUUUUUUCCUUGUCUUUUGGGAAAAGACAAGCUGUGUUGAUUCAGCUUAGGAGGAGUUCCUCUUUCUUCUGUGCAUAUGUUGUUUUUCCUUUGUGUUGCAAGCUGCAGAAGGGCAUUUCAAGAGCUUUUACUGAUCUGUGGAAAGCAGUGAAACUUAGAGGGCUACGGAUGCAUGCCAGACUGCAGGAACCAUAGCUUCACUCUGGCAGCAAUUCAUCUUCCAUACCAGUGACUGCUGACACAGAUGACCACAUUGUUCAGGUUUGUUAAGGUCAUAAGCAAAUCCAAAAGUUGAGAAAUCAGGGUCCCAUAUUAACCUUUAGGAGUUACCACACAACAGGUUGUACAUCUUGUAUUGCUGUGGUUUAUUAAAAAAACCCACCAACCAACUCCAAAACCCAAUCAACUCUACCCUUCCUCCUUUUUGUGUGAUUUUGGCUAAAUCUUAAAAAUUUCAUUUCAAGUUAUGCUGCCGAGGAUUGCUGUGAAAAACAUUAAUUCUGUAACUCAGAAAUUUGAACUGGGCAUAAACUGAAAUGUGCGGUUGAAGUUUGAAAGGAGCUGGGAGUCCAUGUUGUAAACUUUCAAGGACAUAGUUUAGCCUGUAACUACCACAGGGAAACAACUACAUCCCAAAUUUAAAUGACUGCAAAUGAAAAUAUUGGAUUCAACCUGAGAUUGCGGGUCUUGAAAUUCUAUAUUAUUUUUCAUCUGUUUUAAACCUACACAGUAAUACAAAUAUUUUAUUAACAGAUGGAAAAACCCUUUCAAAUGAACUUCCUCAGCAGUAGCUGUGUUCAGCAGUAAGAUCUAGCUUGGUUAUCUGCAGAAAAGAAUUGCAAAACUUACAAGUUCAGGAAGCUUCCAGCCCAAAGAAGUACAAAAGCACAACUGGCAGCAGCAAAGAAAUGGCAAAGAAUAGAGGCUAAGCAGUUUCAUCUCCAAUUUUUACAGUCAUGUUCUGGUUAUUCUUACAAUUGAAACAGUGGAUAUAUUUUUGUGUCUCAGUGAUGUUUAUGCUCCAAUCUAUUCAUGACACAUUUUUACUUUUUGUUCUCUUUUUCUAUUCCCUGAUUAGGCCUCCCCUGUCCCUUUCCAUUCUACACUCUCUGACUUCUGCUUAGAUACCAUUUCCUUUGAUGGAAUUCCGCAUGCUUUCUCUGUAAUAACCAGUAUUUUCAGUUAAAUAAUUCAGAUAGUUAAAACAUGGAUUCAUGACAUUGUGUUAUCCAUUUUUACUUCUGUCCACCCUCUGUCCUAUCUAUUUGUACAUUGUCAGAAUCUGAAAGAAAAAUGUUAUGCACACAUUGCCAGACUUAGGGUGCUACAAGUCACUAGCAAUGAUAUAUUCCUUCAAAUGAAUACUCUGCCUUGUAAAUAAAGGUAUUUGAAUCCUA